rnacentral:lncRNA from 8 species
AGACCAUCUAGGCCUUGGACAGAGAGGAAAACAGCACCUACACCAUGGAGGUCAUGGCUGAAGAUGGACGUAAGAUGGUUUUCUGAGAAUAAUAUAUAUUUCUGUUUCCAGACAGAGGCUUCAGGGCAGCUUAGACCUCAGCCUUCUGUUUGUCCCAGUGGCUGUCAAAUUUAAUAAGGCAAGGCUAAAGCAAUACUUCCAUUGACAAUUCAAGACCACACAGUCUUCAGUGACAAAGUAAUAAGCAGGGAGUGAGUCAUGCGAAGUGACAGCCAGUGUGUCGCUAGCUAGCUGCUGGGUGUAGAGUGGGAAGUGAGGAGGGGGUUUAUGUUGUAUAGAAAACUCCAAUCCAAUCCUCCCCCACACUAGAUAGGCAUGACUCAGAACAGAACAGAAGACAGACUUGCAGGGUCUGAGAGCUGCACACGGCACCUCUCCAAUUACCUUGCUGCCCUUAUCCCUCGCAUGCACUUAUUAUCACAUCGAGGGAAAAAUCUUUUCAGACUGGUCCAUUACCUGAAGAAUGGGGGCUCUGACUCACAUCUUAAGUCCACACCUAUAGAUGCUAGAGAGGAAAGUGGUGUUAAUUGGUGGAGAUACUGUAUUAUGUUGGUUGGAUCGAAGUGUACAGGCAGCCUCCACCCUGGUGACAGUCCAUAUCCUGGAUGUGAACGACAACAGUCCUGUGUUGGUGGGGGACUACUCCUGGAAUUACCUGUGUACCCCUCGCUGGGAGGACCAGGCCUUGGUGCUGGCAUCCCGGGACGGCGAUGGUCCCCAGCACGGUGGCAGGCUCAACUUCUCCCUCCGCAGUGACGCCAACGUGCGCGGCAACUGGAAACUCACCACCAUCAAUGGUCUGCCUCAUCAUCCAUCUUCCGUUUUUUCACUAAGACAUUUUUUAUUUUAUCUUGACCCACAGAAAAAUCAACACAGGCUCAGACCAACCUCUUAGCCCAUCAGAUAUUUUAGUAACCAAUCCAGGAGUGGAAAUAGUGUAUAUUACCAUGACAAUACUAUAGGUGUAGUCACUGUAGUAGUGACAGGGUGACCCAACGCUAUGACAUUGUAGGCUAGCACCACACUGUAGGAAGUAGGACCCCGGAAGCAUUAACCUCUCUGCAGGAUCAAUCAAAUCAAACCAAAUCAAAUGGUAUUUGUCACAUUCACGGAAUACAACAAGCGUAGACCUUAGCAUGAAAUGCUAACUUACAAGCCCUUAACCAACAGUGCAGUUCAAGAAAGACUUAAGAAAAUAUUUAACAAAUAAACUAAAGUAAAAUAAUUCAAAAAAGUAACAAAAUAAAAUAACAAUAACGAAGGCUAUAUACAGGGGGUACCGGUACCGAGUCAAUGUGUGGGGGUAAAUGUAGGUAGGGGUGAAGUGACUAUGCAUAAUAGUUAAUAAACAGCGAGGGGUGGGGGGUCAAUGUAAAUAGUCCGGUGGCCAUUUGAUUAAUUGUUCAGCAGUCUUAUGGCUUGGGGGUAGAAGCUGUUAAGAAGCCUUUUGGUCCUAGACUUGGCGCUCCGGUACCGCUUGCCGUGCGGUAACAGAGAAAACAGUCUCUGACUGGAGUCUCUGACAAUUUUUUGGUCUUUCCUCUGACACCGCCUAGUAUAUAGGUCCUGGAUGGCAGGAAGCUUGGCCCCAGUGAUGUACUGGGCUGUACGCACUACCCUCUGUAGUGCCUUACGGUCAGAUACCGAGCGGUGAUGCAACCGGUCAGGAUGCUCUCGAUGGUACAGCUCUAGACCCUUUUGAGGAUCUGGGGACCCAUGCCAAAUCUUUUCAGUCUCCUGAGGGGGAAAAGGUGUUGUAGUGCCCUCUUCACGACUGUCUUGGUAUGUAUGGACCAUGAUAGUUCGUUGCUGAUGUGGACACCAAGGAACUUGAAGCUCUCGACCCGCACCACUACAGCCGCGUCGAUGUUAAUGAGGGCCUGUUCGGCCCGCCUUUUCCUGUAGUCCACGAUCAGCUCCUUUGUCUUGCUCACAUUGAGGGAGAGGUUGUUGUCCUGGCACCACACUGCGCGGUCUCUGACCUCCUCCCUUUAGGCUGUCUCAUCGUAGUCGGUGAUUAGGACUACCACUGUUGUGUUGUCAGCAAACUUAAUGAUGGUGGUGGAGUCGUGUUUGGCCACACAGUCAUGGGUGAACAGGGAGUACAGGAGGGGACUAAGUACACACCCGUGAGGGGCCCCAGUGUUGAGGAUCAGUAUGGCAGACGUGUUGUUGCCUACCCUUACCACCCGGGGGUAGCUCGUCAGGAAGUCCAGGAUUCAGUUGCAGAGGGAGGUGUUUAGUCCCAGGGUCCUUAGCUAAGUGAUGAGCUUCGAGGGAACUAUUGUGUUGAACACUGAGCUGUAGUCAAUUAACAUCAUUCUCACAUAGGUGUUCCUUUUGUCCAGGUGGGAAAGAGCAGUGUGGAGUGCGAUUGAGAUUGCGUCAUCUGUGGAUCUGUUGGGGUAGUAUGCGAAUUGGAGUGGGUGUAGAGUAUCCGGGAGGAUGCUGUUGAUGUGAGCCAUGACCAGCCUUUCAAAGCACUUCAUGGCUACCGACGUGAGUGCUACGGGACGGUAAUCAUUUAGGCAGUUUACCUUCGCUUCAUUGGGCUCAGGGACUAUGGUGGUUUGCUUGAAACAUGUAGGUAUUACAGACUCGGUCAGGGAGAGGUUGAAAAUAUCAGUGAAGACACUUGCCAGUUGGUCCGCGCUUGCUUUGAGUACACAUUCUGGUAAUCCGUCUGGCCCCGCGGCUUUGUGAAUGUUGACCUGUUUAAAGGUCUUGCUCACAUUGGCUACCGAUAGCGUAUCACACAGUCAUCCAGAACAGCUGGUGCUCUCGUGCAUGCUUCAGUGUUGCUUGCCUCGAAGCGAGCAUAAAUGGCAUUUAGCUCGUCUGGUAGGCUCAGGUCACAGGCCAACUCGCGUCUAGGUUUCCCUUUGUAGUCCGUAAUAGUUGCCACAUCUAACGAGCGUCAAAGCUGGUGUAGUAGGAUUCAAUCUUAAUCCUGUAUUGACGUUUUGCUUGUUUGAUGGUUCGUCUGAGGGCAUAGUGGGAUUUCUUAUAAGCGUCCGAAUUGGUGUCCCGCUCCUUGAAAUCGAUAUUGCUAGCCUUUAGCUCGAUGCGGAUGUUGUCUGUAAUCCAUGGCUUCUGGUUUGGAUAUGUACGUACGUUCACUGUGGGGACGUCUUCGUAGAUGCACUUAUUGAUGAAGCCAAUGACUGAGGUGGUAUACUCCUCAAUGCCAUUGGAUGAAUCCCGGAACAUACUCCAGUCUGUGCUAGCAAAACAGUCCUGUAGCAUAGCAUCCGCGUCAUCUGACCACUUCCAUAUUUAGCGAGUCACUGGUACUUCUGCUUUAGUUUUUGCUUGUAAGCAGGAAUCAGGAGGAUAGAAUUAUGGUCAGAUUUACCAAAUGGAGGGCAGGGGAGAGCUUUGUAUGCAUCUCUGUGUGUGGAGUAUAGGUGGUUUAGAGUUUUUUUCCCUCUGGUUGCACAUUUAACGGAUUUAAGUUUGCCUGCAUUAAAGUCCCCGGCAACUAGGAGCACCGCUUCUGGAUGAGCAAUUUCUUGUUUGCUUAUGGCCUUAUAGAGUUGUUUGAGUGUGCUCUUAGUGCCAGCAUCGGCUUGUGGUUGUAAAUAGACGGCUACGAAUAAUAUAGAUGGGAACUCUCUUGGUAGAUAGUGUGGUCUACAACUUAUCAUAAGGUACUCUACCUCAGGCGAGCAAUACCUUGAGACUUGUAUUAGACAUUGCACACCAGCUUUUAUUGACAAAUAGACACACACCCCUACCCCUUGUCUUGCCAGACGUAGAUUCUCUGUCCUGCCGGGGGAUGGAAAACACCGCCAGCUCUAUAUUAUCCGUGUUGACUCGGUGAAACAUAUGAUUUUACAAUUUUUUAUGUCCCGUUGGUAGGAUAAUCUUGAUUGUAGGUCAUCAAUAUUAUUUUCCAAUGAUUACACGUUGGCCAAUAGAACAGAUGGCAGUGGGAGUUUACUCGCUCACCCAUGAUUUCUCAGAAGGCAGCCCAACACCCGCACCCUUUUUGUCCGUCUUUUCUUCACGCAAAUGACGGGGAUCUGGACCUGUUCCCGAGAAAGCAGUAUAUCCUUCGCGUCGGACUCGUUAAAGGAAAAAGCUUCUUCCAGUUCGAGGUGAGUAAUCACUGUUCUGAUGUCCAGAAGUUAUUUUCGGUCAUAAGAGACGGUAGCAGCAACAUUAUGUACAAAAUAGGUAAAAGAAUAAGUUACAAACAACGGCCAAAAAAUUGCAAAAUAGCACAGUUUGUUAGGAGCACGUAAAACGUCAGCCAUCCUCUCCGGCGCCAUUCUAGAUCGAGGAGUUGUAUUGGUUGAGUCACGUCUGUGUAAGAACCACUACCAGACAGCUAAAUUAAAGUGACAAAUUAGACCAUUCUAUUUGAGUCGUUAUGGUGAUGUUAGACCUGACACUUUCACUGUGGUUACCUGUGUAUCGGGUGACGUCACCGACAAUAAAAUGGUUUUCAAAACAAAAAGCAUAUACGUGUAAAAACAAUCCAGGGUGUUUUGCUACAGUGUGAUGAACGGUGAAUAGGAUGUAAUUCAGAUAUCCAUUCAGGCCACCUGUAGAUCCACAGUCACAUGUAGAGAGGAUUGGAGUGAGUGGCACUGAGACACUGACUGGCAGUGGAAGUAAAUGGCCCCCAUCCUUUCUUCUGAGGCGCUCUGACUAGGCAGUGUCAGUAAUACGCCUAAUGGCCCUCUUCCUGUCGCUGUACUUGUCUGUAAUGUGUCAGGCGGACAUACAUUAAUCAGACUUGUCCACUUUGCUGUGCUGACAUAGUCUCUAUUGAUUCACUGUGACAACCUUUUCUCUUUUUUUUUCUCUCGCCCUUUCUCUCUGACGCGUUAUUAAUGGAAGCGGCGGAGGCUGGCUGUAAUUAUAUUUCCCCUUUAAUUUGUGUGAUGUCACAGCUGGGGCCCGCUGGGCUGAAAGGCUAAGAGGCUAAAAGUGUAUUUUUCCCAGCAGUGCCUAGCAGCUGCAAAACUUGUCCCUAAUAACACCUGCUGCA